rnacentral:rRNA from 1 species
UCCAGACUCCUACGGGAGGCAGCAGUGAGGAAUGUUGGUCAAUGGCCGGAAGGCUGAACCAGCCAAGCCGCGUGAAGGACGAAGGUGCCAAGCAUUGUAAACUUCUUUUGUCAAGGGACAAAAUCAGGCUCGAGAGCCUGACCGAGGGUACUUGAAGAAAAAGCAUCGGCUAACUCCGUGCCAGCAGCCGCGGUAAUACGGAGGAUGCGAGCGUUAUCCGGAUUUAUUGGGUUUAAAGGGUGCGUAGGCGGGCUGUUAAGUCAGGGGUAAAAGCCCGGGGCCCAACCCCGGCGAGCCGUUGAAACUGGCUGUCUUGAGAUGUCGAGAGGUAUGCGGAAUGCGCAGUGUAGCGGUGAAAUGCAUAGAUAUCGCGCAGAACUCCGAUUGCGAAGGCAGCAUGCCGGCGCCCAACUGACGCUGAAGCACGAAAGCGUGGGUAUCGAACAGGAUUAGAUACCCCAGUA